rnacentral:rRNA from 1 species
UGCGUAGGUGGUGAGGUAAGUCGGAUGUGAAAUCUCCGAGCUCAACUCGGAAACUGCAUUGGAAACUACCUUGCUCGAGGGUUGGAGGGGGGACUGGAAUGCUUGGUGUAGCAGUGAAAUGCGUAGAUAUCGAGAGGAACACCUGCGGCGAAGGCGGGUUGCUGGGCUGACACUGACGCUGAACUGCGAAAGCUAGGGGAGCGAACG